AAUUGCAUGGCUUAGUGGUUUGAGCACUGGACUAUGACUCUGGAGACCAAGGUUCAGUUCCUGCUUGAUCA